rnacentral:rRNA from 1 species
UACGGAGGGUGCGAGCGUUGUCCGGAAUCACUGGGCGUAAAGGGCGCGUAGGCGGCAUGCCAAGCGUGUGGUGAAAGCCCGGGGCUCAACCCCGGGUCGGCCGUGCGGACUGGCGUGCUCGAGCACUGUAGGGGCGGGUGGAAUUCCGGGUGUAGCGGUGGAAUGCGUAGAGAUCCGGAAGAACACCGGGGGCGAAGGCGGCUCGCUGGGCAUGGUCCGACGCUGAGGCGCGAAAGCGUGGGGAGCGAACAGG